AGAGUUUGAUCCUGGCUCAGGACGAACGCUGGCGGCGUGCCUAAUACAUGCAAGUAGAACGCACAGUUUAUACCGUAGCUUGCUACACCAUAGACUGUGAGUUGCGAACGGGUGAGUAACGCGUAGGUAACCUGCCUGGUAGCGGGGGAUAACUAUUGGAAACGAUAGCUAAUACCGCAUAAUAUUAAUUAUUGCAUGAUAAUUGAUUAAAGGGUGCAAUUGCACCACUACCAGAUGGACCUGCGUUGUAUUAGCUAGUAGGUGAGGUAACGGCUCACCUAGGCGACGAUACAUAGCCGACCUGAGAGGGUGAUCGGCCACACUGGGACUGAGACACGGCCCAGACUCCUACGGGAGGCAGCAAUAGGGAAUCUUCGGCAAUGGACGAAAGUCUGACCGAGCAACGCCGCGUGAGUGAAGAAGGUUUUCGGAUCGUAAAGCUCUGUUGUAAGAGAAGAACGGGUGUGAGAGUGGAAAGUUCACACUGUGACGGUAUCUUACCAGAAAGGGA
rnacentral:rRNA from 1 species